UACGUAGGGGGCUAGCGUUGUCCGGAUUUAUUGGGCGUAAAGAGCGUGUAGGCGGCCAGGUAGGUCUGCUGUGAAAACUCGAGGCUCAACCUCGAGACGUCGGCGGAAACCAUCUGGCUAGAGUCCGGAAGAGGAGAGUGGAAUUCCUGGUGUAGCGGUGAAAUGCGCAGAUAUCUGGAGGAAUACCGGUGGCGAAGGCGGCAUCCUGGACCGACAUUGACGCUGAGGAGCGAAAGCUAGGGGAGCAAACGGG
rnacentral:rRNA from 1 species